UUUCCUACCUUUAUUUAUUGCAAAUUUUGAGAAGCAAAUUCAUAUCUUGAAUAGGUGGAUCAGGUCACUCCUAGAGGCCUCUGAUAGCGUUCCAUCACUGUUAGCAUAAAACUCAAUUUCCUUACCAUAGUCAGCCAGGCCCUUUAUGACAGCACUCCUGUCAGCAUGGUCACUGUCCCCCAAGGACCCCACACUCCAAUCUCAAAUGCUCUAAGUCCUUUCCCACAGCAAGAUGUUUGCACAUGCUGUUCCCUUUUCCCAACUAGCGUUUUCUUCCUCUGCCUUUGCUGCCUGGAUCUUUCGCAUCUGUCACCUCUUUAGGAAAACCAAAAAUAAGUAUGUGAGAUGCGGAUGUGGAGCCCGCGGGCGAGCGCCGAACCCGCGGAUACGGAGGGCCGACUAAGGCACAGAGCACCCGCGGAUUUCGGUAUCUUCCGGGAGUCCUGGAACAAGUCCCCCGCGGAUACCGAAGGACGACUAGAGAAAAACAGCCCUGAGUCCUAUGGAUGAAAGCAGUGAUUCACGAAUUUACAUGGGCAUGAAGAAUCAUCUAGGACCCAGGUGAUUCUGAGAAAGGCCUGCAGAUCAUGCUCUGAGAAACCCUAGAAUGAAGAUGAGCUGUUUAAGCUAUUCUCAGUCACGUGUUGAGCUGUCAUCUGGAGCGAUUUCUGUUUAAGCUCAGAAAGAAACCCAUGAGGAAUAAAAAAAGUCCUUCUGUGAGUGAACUGAAUAAUCUGCAAUGAGAAGUUUCUGGAUGCCUUGGGAAGAGAUAAAGG
rnacentral:lncRNA from 1 species